rnacentral:tRNA from 1 species
AUUCUAGUAGCUUAGUAAUAAAGC